ensembl:miRNA Mir181a2 microRNA 181a-2
AGAUGGGCAACCAAGGCAGCCUUAAGAGGACUCCAUGGAACAUUCAACGCUGUCGGUGAGUUUGGGAUUCAAAAACAAAAAAAACCACCAACCGUUGACUGUACCUUGGGAUUCUUA